rnacentral:misc_RNA from 1 species
GAUGAAGAACGUAGCGAAAUGCGAUAAGUAAUGUGAAUUGCGGAAUUCAGUGAAUCAUCGAAUCUUUGAACGCACAUUGCGCCCUUUGGCAUUCCGAAGGGCACACCUGUCCGAGCGCCGUCGCACAACUGAGGCGCAGCCUUGCGUUGGCGGGCGACUUGUGAGUAGCGAGUCGCCGCCCAAACGAGACGGCGCCGCGCCGCGGCCGACGAAGCACGAAAGCGGAAGUCGACGCGGAGGCGGUUGCCUGUAGGAAGACACAGCUUGGCCUCGGAUCAGGUGGGGAUACCCGCUGAACUUAAGCAUAUCAAUAAGCGGAGGA